AUGGAAGUAACAGAGGCAUGCACCUUAUGCAAUGCGCAGGAAGACGCAUGGCGCCACUCCUUGUUUGACCGCCGAAUGGCUCAUUGUGUGUGGGCACUUGGUGAAGAAGAGAUACUAGAGCAUGUUAUUUCCAAUAUAUACGAGGAUCCCAGGCUGUGGCUAUUCUGGCUCUUUGAAACUUUAAAUGAACAGGAGCUUGCCAAAGUCUUGAUCACCAUGUGGGCUAUUUGGUGGGCGAGGAGGAGAGCAAUCCAUGACAAUGAAUUUCAGAGCCCUCUAUUGACUUGGUGCUUCAUCACGAGGUACCUUCAAGACCUUGAGAUUGCAGUGAAGCAGAAGAACCCGAUCGCUAUGCCGAAUGUCGGUGCCCGGCCACGGCAUAAGGCAUGGAUUCCACCGGAGGAAGACGAAGCAAAAUUCAACGUGGAUGGGGGUAUUUUGAGACAGGGCCAUGUUGGGGCAGCCGCGGAGAUCUGCAGAGAUAAGGAGGAUCUUUUCCUGGGGGCUUCAGCACUGGUUUUCGAUGGCCUGAAUGAUGCGGUUGCUUUGGAGGCACAUGCAUGCAAUGAAGCCUUAGCGCUGGCCAUGGAUCUACAGCUAACCCGCUUGCUGAUUGCUAGUGAUUGCUUGGAGGUGGUGAACAGUAUAGGAACAUCAUCGGCAACACAUUAUUCACCAGUGCUACAUGAAAUAACAGCGAGGAGAAGGGAUUUCCACCAUGUCAAGUUCAAGUUUGAACACAGAGAAAAUAAUUUCGAAGCCCAUGCACUGGCGAAAGCAGCGUCUUCUCUUCCAGUAGGGCGCCAUAUUUGGCUAGGGACCGUACCAUACAUUAUUUGUAUUCCAAUGUUGAGUACUGCUUAA
rnacentral:rRNA from 1 species